rnacentral:rRNA from 1 species
GAUGAAUGCUGGCGGCGUGGAUAAGGCAUGCAAGUCGAACGGAGACACUUUGAGAUUACAUCAAGAUUUGUCUUAGUGGCAGACGAGGUAGUAUAACAUAGGUAUCUUCCCUUAAGUCAGGAAUAACAUAUCGAAAGAUAUGCUAAUACUUGAUAGUCUCUACGGAGUAAAGUUUUAACGCUUAAGGACGAGCCUAUUCGAUAUCAGCUAGUUGGUAAGGUAAUGGCUUACCAAGGCAAUGACGUCUAGAGGAGCUGAGAGGCUGACCCUCACCGAUGGGACUGAGACACGGCCCAUACACCUACGGGUGGCUGCAGUCGAGAAUUUUCCGCAAUGGGCGCAAGCCUGACGGAGCGACGCCGCGUGGUUGAUGAAGUACUUAGGUAUGUAAAAACCUUUUAUGAGGGAAAAAGUUUAUUGAUUGUACCUCAUGAAUAAGGGGUUGCUAAACUCGUG